rfam:Geobacillus sp. WCH70, complete genome.
GCAAUCCACUAGGGGGGCCUUUAGAAAGGCUGAGAUCAAAGUGUGCCUUUGAGACCCUUAGAACCUGAUCUGGGUAAUACCAGCGUAGGGAAGUGGAGUGGCGCAGUC